ensembl:lncRNA
AUUCAGUCUGCAUCAGCAUGAAGAUGAACACCUAUGGCUCUCUCUUUGCCUUUUUUCUGGCGUCUAAUGUUGCUACAGGUUUGAUCCAUGAAGCUGUGGAAGUGGCCGAGAACCUCAUCAUCACUUGUCCUCUCAGUGUGGAGGGUAAAGUGACGUGGAGCAGAGAGAUACAUAGAAGGAAAGUUGACUUACUUACAUCUUAUGGUGACGCAGAAAUACGACACAUCCGUGAUGCGGACAGGUACAGUUCGUUUGCAGAUGGGUUCCUGCUAAUUGUUGGCACUUCUGUGUCAGACUCUGGAACAUACCUGUGUAAUAAUCAAGCAGCUGUGGAGCUGACAGUCAUCCCAUCAGGAACGACAAGACGCAUCAUUUCAGAGAAGACGACGAGCACUCUGCACUGUCCUCAUGAUGCUGAAGAGUCGCAUGUCCCAGUAUGGAGCAGAAAACUCAGAGGACAGCAGCGACACAUCAGCCCUCACUCUUUCACUGUGGACCAGAUGUUGAUCAUUACAGAUGUUCAGCUUGGUGAUUCGGGACUGUACUACUGUGAUGGGAAACCUGCUGUUUAUCUGGAUGUGAUCAAAGAUGAGAGAUCUGAGAGAGGUAUCUUCUAUGAAGUAGCUGAGGUGAUGCAGAAGGUCGUUUUGACUUGUCCUCACAUCGUGGAGGGUAAAAUAACGUGGAGCAAAG